UGGCGACCGGCGUACGGGUGAGUAACGCGUAUCCAACCUGCCCUUUACUAUGGGACAGCCCGUCGAAAGGCGGAUUAAUACCGUAUGUUGUCAUGUUGAUGCAUAUUUUCAUGACCAAAGGCUUCGGCCGGUAAAGGAUGGGGAUGCGUCUGAUUAGCUUGCCGGCGGGGUAACGGCCCACCGGGGCGACGAUCAGUAGGGGUUCUGAGAGGAAGGUCCCCCACAUUGGAACUGAGACACGGUCCAAACUCCUACGGAAGGCAGCAG
rnacentral:rRNA from 1 species